rnacentral:pre_miRNA from 1 species
AUAAUACUCCCUCCGUUUCAUAAUUCUUGUCGAAAUAUUACAUGUAUCUAGACACUUUUUAGUAAUAGAUACAUCCAUUUUUUUUGGGCAAAUUUGAGACAAGAAUUAUGGAACGGAGGUAGCAUAUA